rnacentral:rRNA from 1 species
UACAGAGGUCUCAAGCGUUGUUCGGAUUCAUUGGGCGUAAAGGGUGUGUAGGUGGCGCCGUAAGUCGGGUGUGAAAUUUCGGAGCUUAACUCCGAAACUGCAUUCGAUACUGCGGUGCUUGAGGACUGGAGAGGAGACUGGAAUUCAUGGUGUAGCAGUGAAAUGCGUAGAGAUCAUGAGGAAGACUAGUGGCGAAGGCGGGUCUCUGGACAGCAACUGACGCUGAGGCACGAAGGCCAGGGGAGCAAACGGG